CUUGCUUCUCUUGAGAGCGGCGGACGGGUGAGUAAUGCCUAGGAAUCUGCCUGGUAGUGGGGGAUAACGUUCGGAAACGGACGCUAAUACCGCAUACGUCCUACGGGAGAAAGCAGGGGACCUUCGGGCCUUGCGCUAUCAGAUGAGCCUAGGUCGGAUUAGCUAGUUGGUGGGGUAAUGGCUCACCAAGGCGACGAUCCGUAACUGGUCUGAGAGGGUGAUCAGUCACACUGGAACUGAGACACGGUCCAGACUCCUACGGGAGGCAGCAGUGGGGAAUAUUGGACAAUGGGCGAAAGCCUGAUCCAGCCAUGCCGCGUGUGUGAAGAAGGUCUUCGGAUUGUAAAGCACUUUAAGUUGGGAGGAAGGGUUGUAGAUUAAUACUCUGCAAUUUUGACGUUACCGACAGAAUAAGCACCGGCUAACUCUGUGCCAGCAGCCGCGGUAAUACAGAGGGUGCAAGCGUUAAUCGGAAUUACUGGGCGUAAAGCGCGCGUAGGUGGUUUGUUAAGUUGGAUGUGAAAUCCCCGGGCUCAACCUGGGAACUGCAUUCAAAACUGACUGACUAGAGUAUGGUAGAGGGUGGUGGAAUUUCCUGUGUAGCGGUGAAAUGCGUAGAUAUAGGAAGGAACACCAGUGGCGAAAGCGACCACCUGGACUAAUACUGACACUGAGGUGCGAAAGCGUGGGGAGCAAACAGGAUUAGAUACCUCUGAUAGUCCACGCCGUAAACGAUGUCAACUAGCCGUUGGAAGCCUUGGAGCUUUUAGUGGCGCAGCUAACGCAUU
rnacentral:rRNA from 1 species